rnacentral:tRNA from 1 species
UUAGUAGGGGGGCCUACUAGGUGAGAACUUUCAAAUUCAGAGAAACUUUAUAAAUCGUGAGGGUUCAAGUCCCUCUAUCCCCAAAAAAGCUCAU